rnacentral:rRNA from 1 species
UACGGGGGGGGCAAGCGUUGUUCGGAAUUACUGGGCGUAAAGGGCUCGUAGGCGGCCAACUAAGUCGGAUGUGAAAUCCCCAGGCUUAACCUGGGAACUGCAUCCGAUACUGGAUGGCUUGAAUCCGGGAGAGGGAUGCGGAAUUCCAGGUGUAGCGGUGAAAUGCGUAGAUAUCUGGAGGAACACCGAUGGCGAAGGCAGCCUCCUGGGCCAGCACUGACGCUCAUGCACGAAAGCGUGGGGAGCAAACAGG